GUUUUUGUAGUUUAUUGCCAAACAUGGUAUUGAAAAUACCAAGAUAAAAUUUAACAUAUUUUCACUGACA
rnacentral:tRNA from 1 species